UACAGAGGUCUCAAGCGUUGUUCGGAAUCACUGGGCGUAAAGGGUGCGUAGGCGGCGCGGAAAGUCAGAUGUGAAAUCCGGAGGCUCAACCUCCGAAUUGCAUCCGAUACUCCCGCGCUAGAGAAUUGUAGAGGAGCUUGGAAUUCUCGGUGUAGCAGUGAAAUGCGUAGAUAUCGAGAAGAACGCUCGCAGCGAAAGCGAAGCUCUGGGCAAUUUCUGACGCUGAUGGCAUCGAAGGCUAGGGGAGCAA
rnacentral:rRNA from 1 species